rnacentral:rRNA from 1 species
AGGAAUGUAUAGCGCAAGCUAAUUGCACUAGCCUUUGGCUGGUGCAAGAUCGACCGAGUUGAAUAAAGUUCUAGGUAGAGUUAUGAUAAUGACAUUUUCUAUCUAUGUGUCUUGACCAAGUCACGUGCCAGCAGUCGCGGUAAUACGUGGAAGACUAGUGUUAUUCAUCUUUAAUUGGUUUAAAGGGUACCUAGACGGUUAAUCAAACCCCCCCCCUACGGGGGGGGGUAUUAAUUUACUAGAGUUUUAUAUGAGGAGGGGAGUACUAAAGAGUGUAGAGAUGAAAUUCUGUCAUACCUGCCUUGGAACAGGCAACGGCGAAGGCAACCUUUUAUGUAAAAACUGACGUUGAAGGACGAAGGCUUAGGACACCAACAGGAUUAGAUACCCCAGCAGUCUAAGCAGACAAUGAUGAAUGUCAUAGAUUAGAAUUAUAAUUUUGUCUAUAAAUGAAAGUGUAAGCAUUCCACCUCAAGAGUAAUGUGGCAACGCAGGAACUGAAAUCAUUAGACCGUUUCUGAAACCAGUAGUGAAGUAUGUUGUUUAAUUUGAUGAUACCCACAACACCUUACCACAAUUUGAAUAUUAUUUAUUUCAAUAUUUUUUUUGAAUAUAUAUUACAAGCGUUGCACGGCUGUUUUCAGUUAAUGUCGUGAGAUUUUGGUUAGUUCCAUUAAAUUAACGUAAACCCUUACUUUUUUUUUAUUAUUAUAAAGUAGUUCACCGCUAUAUUGGAUAUGAUAAAAGGGAAUAAUACAAGUCAAUAUGGCCUUGAUAUUGUGGGCUAUAGACGUGCCACAUACGCCUUUACAAAGGGAUGCGAAAUUG